rnacentral:rRNA from 1 species
GAUGAACGCUGGCGGCGUGCCUAAUACAUGCAAGUCGAGCGAACGGACGAGAAGCUUGCUUGUCUGAUGUUAGCGGCGGACGGGUGAGUAACACGUGGAUAACCUACCUAUAAGACUGGGAUAACUUCGGGAAACCGGAGCUAAUACCGGAUAAGAUUUUGAACCGCAUGGUUCAAAAGUAAAAUACGGUCUUGGUGUCACUUAUAGAUGGAUCCGCGCUGCAUUAGCUAGUUGGUAAGGUAACGGCUUACCAAGGCAACGAUGCAUAGCCGACCUGAGAGGGUGAUCGGCCACACUGGAACUGAGCCACGGUCCAGACUCCUACGGGAGGCAGCAGUAGGGAAUCUUCCGCAAUGGGCGAAAGCCUGACGGAGCAACGCCGCGUGAGUGAUGAAAGUCUUCGGAUCGUAAAACUCUGUUAUUAGGUAAGAACAUAUGUGUAAGUAACUGUGCACAUCUUGACGGUACCUAAUCAGAAAGCCACGGCUAACUACGUG